GGGGACGUUUUGGAUUCGACAGGGAUAGAUCGAGCUCGAGUUGCGAGUCGAGGGGAUCGUCCUCGUAAAAAACGUCAACGCCAAUAAUAACUGGCAAAUCUAACGAUAACCUCGCUUUAGCUGCCUAAUAAGGCCUAAGCGGAUCCUCCCUCCAUCGCCCAUGUGGUAGGGUCAGGGUCUCACUCUCAGUGGGCUACGCCGGAAGUCCUCCGCCUGGGGACCAUGGAAGAGAUGAAUCAGGCUAGCGCUUUGGAAGCCCGUCGAUAGGCCGAAGAAGACGCGAAACGCUAAUAUAUCGACUACACUCGUAGAAGCUUGAGUGGCGAUAUUCUUGGACGUGGGUUCGAUUCCCACCGUCUCCACCA
rnacentral:tmRNA from 2 species